AUGCUCACUUUGGCAGCAUAUAUACUAAAAUCAGAAUGAUACAGAGAAGAUUAGCAGGGCCUCUGUGCAAGGAUGACACACAAAUUCAUGAAGUGUUCUAUAUUUUU
ensembl:snRNA U6 U6 spliceosomal RNA